UAAUACAUGCAACGUCGUACGCACUGGCCCAACUGAUUGAUGGUGCUUGCACCUGAUUGACGAUGGAUCACCAGUGAGUGGCGGACGGGUGAGUAACACGUAGGUAACCUGCCCCGGAGCGGGGGAUAACAUUUGGAAACAGAUGCUAAUACCGCAUAACAACAAAAGCCACAUGGCUUUUGUUUGAAAGAUGGCUUUGGCUAUCACUCUGGGAUGGACCUGCGGUGCAUUAGCUAGUUGGUAAGGUAACGGCUUACCAAGGCGAUGAUGCAUAGCCGAGUUGAGAGACUGAUCGGCCACAAUGGAACUGAGACACGGUCCAUACUCCUACGGGAGGCAGCAGUAGGGAAUCUUCCACAAUGGGCGCAAGCCUGAUGGAGCAACACCGCGUGAGUGAAGAAGGGUUUCGGCUCGUAAAGCUCUGUUGUUGGAGAAGAACGUGCGUGAGAGUAACUGUUCACGCAGUGACGGUAUCCAACCAGAAAGUCACGGCUAACUACGUGCCAGCAGCCGGGGUAAUAC
rnacentral:rRNA from 2 species